ensembl:lncRNA
AUAUCUACCACUGUAGCUUCUGUCAACCUUAACUUUAAACCUUACAGAAGAAUCAAUAUCUUCUGAUUUGAGAGUUUCCCCCACAUGGUAAAAAUAAAAUGUGAAAUUUCAGUAAAUGGCAUGAAAAAUUUUAGUAGUACCAGGAAGUUUUCAGAAACUAGAGCUUUUACACAAUAUGGAAGUUUUAAUGUUUUGAAGGUUCAGUAAAUUAUGUAGUGUACAAAAGUGAAGUCUAAAUUACCCACUCAGAAGGGUAACCCUAUAGCCCACAUGUCUGGAUCCAUGUAUGCAGAUGGACAGAUACACUUCAUUUCUUCUGGGAAGCUGAGUUCUAAAAAGCUAUCACUCAGAACAGACAGUUUUAUGAUUGCAUAAGAAGAAAAGGAAAGAUGACAGAGUUGCUAUAAAAAUGAAAGGCCUUUUGGUGUAUUAACAGCUGAAAACAUUACAGCUUAAAUGAAGAUGUGAAACAAAAAAUCAGCUUAAAACUGCAAAUUAAAAAAAAGAAAACUUGUGCAGAAGGUUUGAAGCAUAUGGACACCCACCCAGUUUGCAAAGAGGGCAAUGGGAGCCCCAGACUUUAGCUUAUUAAAGAUGACCUUUCCCCUCUCUAAAAUUUCAAAGCUGACGUUUCAAGUGCUGAGCAGACUGUGUGCCAUAUGUAACAUGACCUCAGCUCCACUCUGCCUGAGCACUGAUGGCAUCACUAAUGAGAGGUGAAAGGUCUUUUUCUUGCAGCUUUUUCAGAAACCCACCAACUCUUGCCUGUGAAGUAAGGCCCCUCCCUCCCCCCAACCCUUGAUUUCAAGAGAACUGCAUUUAAUACACAGCCUCAAAACACUUUUAUUACCGGUCGAUUUGCUUAUAGCCACAGCCAAAUGGCAGGAUGUACAAUAACAUGCAGAAGAAAAUAUUUAUUUUGACUCACAAGCCAAAGGGAUUAAGAGAACAUUGUAUUAACCUUGCCUUUCAUCUAUGUUUUAAAGGGAAAUUCUCCAGAGGCGUCCAUUGAAGUUCUGUUUUUUUAAAUAUAAAGUGUAUCAAAGACUUUUAGGAGCCCAGGUGUGUGUUUAUCUGACUAUCUUUCAAAAAGCUGCUUCAGAGACUGCAAAAAGAUGUAUGUUCAGGAAUCUAUUUCAGGCAUUCUUACCAGCCAGCUAGUUACCCGACCCCUACUCCCUUCCCUGGCUUCCCGGCCCCCCACUCCCCCUUGCUGCUUCGAAACAAAAUAGCUUCUUUCCAAGCAGGUUGUUAUCAUAUUCAUGGCAUGGUCAAUUUCCGUUUGCCAAGAAAAUAUUUAGGCUGAUCAAAGACAUUAGAAAAUCGGAUGAAUAGAAACAGACGUUCCCACAAGAGAAGCGUUUCUCAACGUGAAGAGGCAGGCGGAUUGCAGCCCACCCAGUUACUCCUAGGAAAUAGCUCUCCUGCUAAAGGCAGAACUAUGGGGCCACCUGGAUUCUACCGGAAGGGCUAUGGAAGAGUCCGGAAAUUCACGUGGAGACUGGAGCUUGGGACUCUCCGAUGGCGGACAUGUGAGAUGAUCGGUUCUAGUAUCUAUCAGCAAACCUAGAAGGCCUUUAAUUACAUCCAUUAACACAGAGGGACCUUUCAAGACUGAAGAUACAACAGCAAGUGGAUGGGAAAGAACCUUGACAACACAAAACUCAUUUACUAAUGGACUGGUUUUGGAUUUCUCUCUUUCGGGUCCGCAUAUCGCCCCGCCUGAGCCCUCGGCCUAUCCAGAGCUCGCGGGGAGCAGCGUCCCCCAGGAGGCAGGUGGGAGGCUGCUCCGGCGCCGCGCCGCCCUCGGAGCCCGGCAUCCGGAGGGGUCGAGGGCACCUGGAGUUUCCGACCAAGUAAAGGAAAAAGAUGAACGUUGACACUUCAGCCAGGAUUUGGGAUCCUCACUGCCCCAGAGCGACGACGCUAAUUUAUUGAUGAAACACCUUCCAAAGCCCUUCCCUCCUAAAUAUCUGUAGGUAGAGUAGAAUCCUCGCUGUCGUUCUUGAUGGCAAAAGAAUUCCAAGAAAGCGGGCCAGGAGCCUCCAAGCAGCUCGCUCCAAGCCAGAAGGGAAAUAAGUGGGUCUCAGCCAGAGGACACAAGGCCUUGUUUUAACCCGACCUAGAAACUCUAACACCACCUGAUGCCUCCGCAUCAACCUUUCCACAGACCAGUUGUGUGCAUCCGGCGGUUACCUGCACGGCGGAGGCACAAAAGACCAGAAACCUGGCGCUGGUAGCCCCUUUCUAGCUGUGUUACCCUGGGGACCCACGAAGCGGCGAGGGCAGCAGCGGUGCUGCUCCUUGCCUUUAAAUCUCCGACAAAUCUCUGUUUUCUUGUGAUUUGCAUUGACAGCAAAAGGUUUUAAGUUACUAGAACAACUCAAACCUUUCUGUGUGCGAUUUAAAAUGGAUCAUUUGGUUUAUGUGGUUUGUAAAUUCAUGUCAUUUUACCUCUUUUAGUGGUUUGCAGUGAAAGGUUCCAUUUUGGGAAACCUUAUAUAUCCGAGCCAAUAAUUAACAUUUAUAAAAAUUGGUUUCCCUAACCGAGGGAUCGAAAUAGCAGGUAGGCUCGUUGGUACAAAGCGAAUAGCACAUUUCCUUUCUAAUCGUGCGAUCUACUGGACUGAACACUAGGAGAGAAAGGCUGGCGGGCCAGGGCACGGCCUCCAAGGACGAGCACCACUUCUUAUCAACCCCGGUGCCCGCAGUCGCCGCAUCCGC